rnacentral:rRNA from 1 species
GAUGAACGCUAGCGGCAGGCCUAAUACAUGCAAGUCGGACGGGAUUUGGGAGCUUGCUCCUAAUGAGAGUGGCACACGGGUGCGUAACACGUAUGUAACCUACCUUAAUCGGGGGGAUAGCCUCUCGAAAGAGAGAUUAACACCGCAUAAUAUAUUUUUAUGGCAUCGUAGAAAUAUCAAAUAUUUAUAGGAUUAAGAUGGGCAUGCGGAACAUUAGCUAGUUGGUAAGGUAACGGCUUACCAAGGCUACGAUGUUUAGGGGAUCUGAGAGGAUGACCCCCCACACUGGUACUGAGACACGGACCAGACUCCUACGGGAGGCAGCAGUAAGGAAUAUUGGUCAAUGGGCGCAAGCCUGAACCAGCCAUGCCGCGUGCAGGAAGACGGCCCUAUGGGUUGUAAACUGCUUUUGUACCGGAAUAAACCCUUUUACGUGUAAGAGGCUGAAUGUACGGUAAGAAUAAGGAUCGGCUAACUCCGUGCCAGCAGCCGCGGUAA